rnacentral:rRNA from 1 species
UACGGGGGGGGUAAGCGUUGUUCGGAAUUACUGGGCGUAAAGGGCUCGUAGGCGGCCAACUAAGUCAGACGUGAAAUCCCUCAGCUUAACUGGGGAACUGCGUCUGAUACUGGAUGGCUUGGAUUCGGGAGAGGAAUGCGGAAUUCCAGGUGUAGCGGUGAAAUGCGUAGAUAUCGGGAGGAACACCGGUGGCGAAGGCGGUUCUCUGGGCCUUACCUGACGCUGAGGAGCGAAAGCGUGGGGAGCGAACAGG